UGACAUUUUCAAGACAGAAGUACUCCCUGCGAGUUGCCAAGCUCAAGAUCUGGAUUCUCCUUCAGAUGAGGGCUAUGAGACAGCGGAAGAGUCAUUCUUAUCGGAGGAAGAUUUCAUGUUCCCCAAGAGCAACUUGUUCGGAGAAGAUGACGAAGAAGAGGAUGAAAAACCUGUUCCCAAGGAGAAAAUAAUGAAGAGGAUAGAUUCACAUAAAGGAAUGAAGUCAUACCAGCUAGCUCAGCAACUAUCUUCUAAAUGGUCAACAGGAGCAGGGCCACGUAUUAGCUGCAUGAGGGAUUAUCCUUCAGAGCUU
rnacentral:lncRNA from 1 species